rnacentral:rRNA from 1 species
AACACGUGAGCAAUCUGCCCUUGACUCUGGGAUAAGCGUUGGAAACGACGUCUAAUACCGGAUACGACCCUCGGAGGCAUCUCCUGGGGGUGGAAAGAAUUUUGGUCAAGGAUGAGCUCGCGGCCUAUCAGCUAGUUGGUGAGGUAAUGGCUCACCAAGGCGACGACGGGUAGCCGGCCUGAGAGGGUGACCGGCCACACUGGGACUGAGACACGGCCCAGACUCCUACGGGAGGCAGCAGUGGGGAAUAUUGCACAAUGGGCGAAAGCCUGAUGCAGCAACGCCGCGUGAGGGAUGACGGCCUUCGGGUUGUAAACCUCUUUUAGUAGGGAAGAAGCGAAAGUGACGGUACCUGCAGAAAAAGCACCGGCUAACUACGUGCCAGCAGCCGCGGUAAUACGUAGGGUGCAAGCGUUGUCCGGAAUUAUUGGGCGUAAAGAGCUCGUAGGCGGUUUGUCGCGUCUGCUGUGAAAUCUGGGGGCUCAACCCCCAGCCUGCAGUGGGUACGGGCAGACUAGAGUGCGGUAGGGGAGAUUGGAAUUCCUGGUGUAGCGGUGGAAUGCGCAGAUAUCAGGAGGAACACCGAUGGCGAAGGCAGAUCUCUGGGCCGUAACUGACGCUGAGGAGCGAAAGCAUGGGGAGCGAACAGGAUUAGAUACCCUGGUAGUCCAUGCCGUAAACGUUGGGAACUAGAUGUGGGGACCAUUCCACGGUCUCCGUGUCGCAGCUAACGCAUUAAGUUCCCCGCCUGGGGAGUACGGCCGCAAGGCUAAAACUCAAAGGAAUUGACGGGGGCCCGC